CGCCAGCAGCCGCGGUAAUACAGAGGGUGCAAGCGUUGUUCGGAAUUAUUGGGCGUAAAGCGCGUGUAGGCGGCUUGGCAAGUCGGGUGUGAAAUCCCUCAGCUUAACUGAGGAAGUGCGCCCGAAACUGCCGAGCUUGAGUACCGGAGAGGGUGGCGGAAUUCCCCAAGUAGAGGUGAAAUUCGUAGAUAUGGGGAGGAACACCGGUGGCGAAGGCGGCCACCUGGACGGAUACUGACGCUGAGACGCGAAAGCGUGGGGAGCAAACAGGAUUAGAUACCCUGGUAGUCCACGCCGUAAACGAUGAGAACUAGGUGUCGUGGGUGUUGACCCCCGCGGUGCCGUAGCUAACGCAUUAAGUUCUCCGCCUGGGAAGUACGGCCGCAAGGCUAAAACUUAAAGGAAUUGGCGGGGGA
rnacentral:rRNA from 1 species